GUUUCAAUUCCUCAUAGGCAGGCUAUCGGCGGGUUGGACCAUGACACUGAAAUUUUUCGCGAAUUGG
rnacentral:sRNA from 1 species